rnacentral:lncRNA from 1 species
CGAACUUUGUAGCAUGCUGCACCAUGAUUGUUGUUCACAUUUCAAAGCAACCUCAAGGAAAACUGUAAAUAAGAACUAAGGCAUAAAAAUACACUCGCACCUGGGAAUACUCAGCAUGCUGUACACCAGAGCUGCAUCCAAGCCCUGGCAAACAGCCAGCUGCUGAGGAGAAAUCUGGAAGGGCUUAAUAUGGACUGGAGAACUGAUCUACUUGGAAACAAACUACGUGGGUGUACUUAUCUCCUUGUCGCAUACUGUAGUCAUUUUGCUACUUUGAAUAAAAAAUAGGUCUUGUCAUCAUGUUAUAGGCCUCAACAUCGCACUUCUGGUGCAUAGAGCCCACACCUAGCGAGAACAAUCAUUUUCCUUUUGUUGGAAGCUUUUAAUGGGCAGCUGGAUGUGAACCUUCAGACCAAAGAAAGUGGUCUGAAUUCAUUUCAGAAAGAGGAGAUACUGUACUGGAAGCUGCGAGAAGUAAUAGGAUGAACAGUAUUAAGUCUGAGUCAUAAAAUAAAAAGUCAUCGAUGAGUCAUUUGUGGAAGUUGCCAUAGCUAUACAACAAAACACGAGGUUUCUGUUUAUAUACGGACAAAUGAGCUGUUUCCUACUUACUGUAACAAUAGUACUGGACCUUUGGAGACACAGUUACUUCUCCUGAUCACCACUGGGUUCCUUCACAGCCUGCUGUUACUCCUGCUUCUCUGAAGUAUAUACUCUUAUGUUGGAUGGGAAAAUAUGGCCUCUAACAACAUGAGUAACAUCCUUUCACUGCACACCAGUUGCACAUAGAGAAGAGGAAAACUAGAAUGUCAAGAAGGAAAAAGCACCAUCUCUUUUACCUGUCAGUACUAGGACCUACAGACCUUUCCAUCUUAAUUUAUCAUGAAGACCUAGCUAAAAAUACAGUUCCUGACAAGUGGUUCCAAAUAAAUUAAUUGAAAACAUCAACAAGAAAGAUCAUUGACACUUCUGCUAGUUUUACUUUCCUGCAAAAUGAAUCAUUCUGGGUACUGCUGUUUCUUCUGUAGCCUGGAGUAUAACUGUUUACACAUUUAAAAGAGGAUUGUUCAGCUCAUGCAGUCACCUUGGAAAAUGCCAACCAGAUUCCUUUAUGAUGGAACUAAACUGGGAUAUAUUCCCUGGAAGCAUUGUGAAAAUACACCAACUGCAAAAAGGGACAAAGCUCAUGGGCAACACAAGGACCAAUCUAAAUUAAACUCCCCUUGAAAUGUGUACAUCGGGGACACUGGAUCUUAAACAUUAUUUGUUUUGUUUUGCAAAUCUACUGCUUAGCUACACUGCUAGACCAUACAUAACCCUGAAGACCAUAAAGUUUAUUCACUGAAUGCUGAACUUCUCUGAAAAUCUAAAUGUGAGAAUGACAAAAAGCAGUUCACAGACAUUGUAGUUCUUCUCUGCACAGAUAAAUGCACAGUGUCUCAAAAAUACUUCAACAGAGUCUUUUGAAAAUCCAUGGCAUCAUCGGAGAAACAGAGCUGACUGAUUUUGUCUGAAAAAAAAAUUUAGAAGAUGGUUUCAUUUGUAUUUUAGCACAGGAAAUUGUCAGAAGUCUGCCAACAGUUCUGUAAAAUUCUCCAUCUCCUCACUACUUCUUCAAUCUGCAUCCUUUCCCUAAUGAAAUAUACCAUCUCUGCUAUCAAUUCAGCAGUGUGCAAGCACACGCUCAGCUUUCUAGGAGCAAUUCAGUAACAUUCAACCACCCAGAUGUCUGGAAAUGUCUUCACCAGGAACCUGGGUGAGUAGCCAAGGGAAGUUUACCUCUGAAUUUCAGUGAUAUUCAGGUGAAUUUCAUGAUCUUUACUUGUUAUUAUCAGAAAUGAUGGUGUGAAGUACUUUAAUCAGUGUUAGAGUGCACAAAAUCUGCUGCUAUAGCAGUUCAUAAUAGGAGCUCAUUAUCAGCUACAAUAGCUGUCUCCUAGAAGGAAUGAAUAAAUAAACUGGGUUGAAAAUAUGAUGUGAAAAUAUUUCUAUUGUAUAACAUUAUGCAUAUAAUUCAUCAAAUUUUCUUAGUAGGUUGUGUUGUCUACCAUGACAUUAGCAAGGAUUUUGAUAUGUCUCCCGUUCUUGUAAUAUAGUUGGGAUGUUACAGUACAGAUGGGUAGACUACAAGGUGCAUGAAAUCCUGGGUAGGUUACUUGUCAACGUGUGUAGAUUCACCAUCCACACUUCACCUUGGUUGAAUGGUUACAUGUAAAGUUUUUAAGGACUCUGUCCCGGGACUGAUCCUAUUUAAAAAUGUGGAGAAGAGUGAAGAUAUAUUCAUCAUAUUUGUAUACAACACUGUCUGGGAUAGUGUUGUAUGCUAUCUACCUACAGUAGAUGGUCUUGAUGGCAGGGCUGCCAUUCAGAUGGACCUGGCUAGGCUAGAUGAAGCAAGGAACUUUGUGAAAUUGAACAAAGACAAAUGCAAAGACUUGCAUCUUGGACAGACAUACCCUUCAUCAGCACUGGCUGGGUACUGACUGGCUGGAUAGCAACCCUGUUGGAAAGCUGCCAGGAAUCCUCGGUGGACAGUAUGCUAAACACGAGUCACAUCUGGGUAACAGUGAUGGUGGCUAACAGUAUACUUGGCUGUAAAAAUGGGAUCGAUUCAGCCACUAGAUCAAAGGAAGAGCAUAAUCAGCUUGCUGUUCAUUAGAUCACUUCUGGAGACCUGAAUCCAGUUUUGAGCCUUUCAGGACAGUAAAGAGAUUGAUUAACUGGAAUGAGUUCAGCAAAUAGCCACCAAAAUGGAUGGAGGACGGAGCAUUCUUCCUGUGAGCAAAGAGGGAUCUGAGCUUGUUUAGCUGGAUCAGGAACAUUAGGGACCUCCAGCAGCACAGAGCCAUGAAUUUUACUGGCUUGCACAGUGAGAAGAUGAGUGACCAAAAAUUGAAGCAUGAGUGUUUCUGACAAGGUACAAUGGUAAUGUUUUUGUUAUGAGGAUAGAAUUCUUUGAUAGGUGAAGGUAACUAUUCUGUAACAAUAAUGACUGUGGGCUGAAGGAAACAAUUAUCCAACAGAAGGAAGGUGCAAUAUUGCGUUUGGGACAGGAUGUAGUCUUUUAGCCAGAUUACGAAGAUGUAACCUAGAGUUCAUGGGACACAGAAUACAUCUGCACAAGCCUAAAAGUGAGUCUGACUGUCUUGAAUUGCCGUAUCAAAACAAAAGAAUGAAUCACUCCUUAGAGACAGAUCACCAUGAUUUUUUUUCAGGUUUGAUACUUCAGGGGCACACGUGAAACUCUUCCUACCUAUUUUAAUGCUGUUACUACCAAUUUUGUUAUACAUGAUAGACGUACCUCUUAGAGUAUCUUUUAAUAUUUUAUUAAUAGUUUGACUUAAGUAAAAG